UACGAAGGGUGCAAGCGUUACUCGGAAUCACUGGGCGUAAAGCGUGCGCAGGCGGUUUCGUAAGUCUGUCGUGAAAUCCCCGGGCUUAACCUGGGAAUGGCGAUGGAGACUGCGAGGCUAGAGUUUGGCAGAGGGGGGUAGAAUUCCACGUGUAGCAGUGAAAUGCGUAGAGAUGUGGAGGAACACCGAUGGCGAAGGCAGCCCCCUGGGUCAAAACUGACGCUCAUGCACGAAAGCGUGGGGAGCAAACAGG
rnacentral:rRNA from 1 species